GACUGAAAGGAAAAGUUCAGUUUAGGGUUUUAAAACCCUAAUGCUGACUAAAUGAAAAGAGUUCAGUUUAGGGUUUAAAACCCUAAUGCUGACUAAAGGAAAAGUUCAGUUUAGGGUUUAAAACCCUAAUGCUGACUAAAGGAAAAAGUUCAGUUUAGGGUUUAAAACCCUAAUGCUGAUUGAAUGGAAAAGUUCAGUUUAUGGUUUAAAAACCCUAAUGCUGACUAAAGGAAAAGUUCAGUUUAGGGUUUAAAACCCUAAUGCUGACUAAAUGGAAAGAGUUCAGUUUAGGGUUUAAAACCCUAACGCUGACUGGCUGGGGACAAAGUUCGAGGAUACCAACUGACAUCUUUUUUUUGAAUUUUCUUGUUUUAGUAGAAGAUAAAAGGGAAUCUCUUGGAAACUUACCUUUCGAGUGAAUUCCUCAUUGUCAAACUGUUUCUUGUACUCAUGUGCCUUCUUCG
rnacentral:lncRNA from 1 species